rnacentral:rRNA from 1 species
GAUGAACGCUAGCGGCAGGCCUAAUACAUGCAAGUCGAACGGUGUAGCAAUACACAGUGGCGCACGGGUGCGUAACACGUAUGCAACCUACCUUACAUUGGGGGAUAGCCUUUCGAACGGGAGAUUAAUACCGCAUAAGACAGUAACUGGGCAUCCAGUAGCUGUUAAAGAUUUAUCGAUGUAAGCUGGGCAUGCGUCCAAUUAGUUAGUUGGCGAGGUAAUGGCUCACCAAGACGAUGAUUGGUAGGGGAACUGAGAGGUCAAUCCCCCACACUGGCACUGAGAUACGGGCCAGACUCCUACGGGAGGCAGCAGUAGGGAAUAUUGGGCAAUGGGCGCAAGCCUGACCCAGCCAUGCCGCGUGCAGGAAGAAGGCGUUAUGCGUUGUAAACUGCUUUUAUACAGGAAGAAACGACCCUUGCGAGGGGCAUUGACGGUACUGUAUGAAUAAGCACCGGCUAACUCCGUGCCAGCCGCCGCCGUAAUAC